rnacentral:rRNA from 1 species
GACGAACGCUGGCGGCGUGCUUAACACAUGCCAGUCGAACGGAAAGACCCUGCUUUUGUGGGGUGCUCGAGUGGCGAACGGGUGAGUAACACGUGAGUAACCUGCCCUUGACUUUGGGAUAACUUCAGGAAACUGGGGCUAAUACCGGAUAGGAGCUCCUGCUGCAUGGUGGGGGUUGGAAAGUUUCGGCGGUUGGGGAUGGACUCGCGGCUUAUCAGCUUGUUGGUGGGGUAGUGGCUUACCAAGGCUUUGACGGGUAGCCGGCCUGAGAGGGUGACCGGCCACAUUGGGCCUGAGAUACGGCCCAGACUCCUACGGGAGGCAGCAGUGGGGAAUAUUGCACAAUGGGCGGAAGCCUGAUGCAGCAACGCCGCGUGCGGGAUGACGGCCUUCGGGUUGUAAACCGCUUUCGCCUGUGACGAAGCGUGAGUGACGGUAAUGGGUAAAGAAGCACCGGCUAACUACGUG